AUGAUGAUCAUUUAUCACAACAAACCAUUUGGUUUUACAGAGCCAGAGGUUCCUAAAGAAAAGGCACCAGAACCUGCAAAGCGAGUUGAAGUUCCAAAGGAAAAGGCUAAACUAGUCCCUAAAGAAAAAGCACCCGCGCUAACUAAAGAAAAAACAAAACCAGCACCAAAGAAAGAGGCCAUUUAAGAGGCUGAAGUCAUCAAGGUGAAAGUCAAACCAGCUCCUGUAAAGAAAGGUAUGUGUGUUUGUGAAAUCAGCUUGUGUUGCUGUUACACAACUGUAUAG
rnacentral:lncRNA from 1 species